AACCACUACGAUACCCCGCAGGGUCCUUGGAAGGCUGAAAGUAAACAUUUAUAACUAUAUUGUAACGACUUUGUUUCGUAUGCUAUAAAAUCAGGAACUAUGUCUGGAGUUUUUGUGAAGCGAGGUGUUCAUAAAACAUUCCUGCCUUGGCUUAUUCAGAAAUCAAAAAAUGUUACUACUGUUCAAGCAAAACCAAAAAAAUUAGAAGUUUUCAUUGAUGACAAGCUAGUUUUGGUGGAUCCAGGCACCACUGUUUUACAAG